UGCUGCCGCCCCCUGCGGGUGGACGAGAGCAGCACGCUCUGUUCCUGCAACCCAGGCUGGUUCUUUCGUCCUCCUUUCCGUCCCUAAGUUUAUUCCCUAAGGGCGCAAGACAGGAACGGAGUCCCCAAAUAAUUCCAGCCACUUUCCUCAUCUGUGCUUGGAAGGCAGCAGCGAUCUGAUAAUGUCCAAUGUGGUUCGUUGACAGUCCUCCACCCCUACACACACACACACACACACACACACACACACAGAGCUAGAGCUAUGUAAAAGCAUCUUCCCAGUUCAGCCUUACAAGCCGUGGGAGCCCCAACACCAUGCACCAUAGUUACAUGAUUUGGGGACUGGCUCAGUCCAAGUGAAGACGCAGGUCAGAGCUGCCUCCUGGUAACACCUGUGCAUUAUCGCCCACUAUGUCCCCUGCCAUUGCUGACACUGCCACCUCCGGGCACGGGCGCAUACUUUUCCUGAAUCCCCGGGAAACAUGCUUGGGUAGUGUUGCUACCCCUCACUCAGUGCUACCGUGCCUGGCGCUUGAAGGGGGGCAAUAAAUAAAUAAGGAAGGAAGGAAGGUUCGACCGAAAAGGAACUUUGGGAUGCGGGGGGCGGUUGGUAUUAUUUUCCCUUUCAACAUGGGCCAUAUUCCAUACCCCUUCUGCAAGUAGUGAUUAAAAGUAGACCCCAUUCCCUCUCCCAUUACCGGACUAUGAGCCCCAAAGUAACUAUCAAGGGACAGCUAGAUCCUAAAUUCAUGUCACCCACCCAACCCCCACGCGCCCGCUCUAGCACACCGGCUAUAUUUUGUUUGAUGUGAACAUGCCCUCGCUUCCUUUCCGAUUUUUGCACUUUGCAUAGGCUGGAGAUACAUGCAUAACAGGCAAUCGUUGAACCGCCAGAGUUCAUUUAUUCAGCGACGAUCUAAGGGAUCUUUCGGUGAGGACCGCUGCACGGGAGGCCGUGGAGACAAGACACUUUAAAUGUGAUUUUAGCGAAGGAAGCCUCCGCUCAGAAGAUCUGCCUUGCUUAGCGCAAGCUGCACACGUCGCGGUGAAGCUGAGCUGUGAUUGGAGGCGCUCGCGGAACCCCACACUGCAGUGGAAAAGUCUGCGCAGAGGCUGCCACACGUCGCGCACGUCCUGCAUGCUCUGCUGGGAGGGCGCCGGCCCCCCGGCGGCGGGCGCAGCUGCUCUGUUCCCAACCCAGCCCGCCCCGCCUGGGGCCUCCGCCUUGCCUUCUCCGGCAGCCUGGCGAGCUUAGGAGACCUGGAGCUCACCUGGCGAGUAGCCCUUGGGAACCUCCCAGCUCUAACCGCCAUUCCUGCACCCUGCUCUCCGGUCAGUCCUCAAGUCAGGUGGCAGCUAAGCAUUCUCAGAUGGGGCAGUUUUCCUUUCCUGGAGUCAACAAUGUAGUGGGUACCCAGAACAAACACUAAGUUCUCCAGUCACUUCUGCUACCAGUGUCACCAAGUCCUUCCCAGAGUCGCCAAGAUGUGGUUAUCAACAGCAGCAGCACGUGACUCCGUUGCCUUACUCUUACACCAGCUCCUUAGACUUAAACAUUUAAACCUCCUUGGUGCCUGUGCCUCCUCCCCAGGGAAAGCUGGGGGGCGGGGGGGGGACAAGCUGUGGCAAGCUGUGAGCAGUCUCACGUUGCUAAUUAGACCCAGUGUCAGUAGUUGCUCUCUUGAAAGAGCCCAUGUAUGAGAGAGUGAAGCAAGGCUCCAAAUAAUAAACAAACCUUUAUCAUCAUCCCAAGAUGGCUUUUAGUCACAAAAUAUGACUUCUUUAAGAAUGGAAAUAGAGAUUUGAGGGUAGCUGCCCAGAUGACAUUGGAGGUUCCCAAAACCAGCUCAUAGAUUGUAUGUAUAUAUUUUUUAAAAAUUUCGAAGUUAGCCGGGCGUGGUGGCGCACACCUUUAAUCCCAGCACUCGGGAGGCAGAGGCAGGCGGAUUUCUGAGUUCGAGGCCAACCUGGUCUACAAAGUGAGUUCCAGGACAGCCAGGGCUAUACAGAGAAACCCUGUCUCGAAAAAAAAAAAAAAAAAAUUUGAAGUUGCCAGUCAUGCAGGACCACUACUGUAGGCUAGACCACAAAAAGGCAGGGACUAAGAGGAUCAGAAAGCUUCGCUAGUAGCACUUGGGAGGUAGAGGCAAGUGGAUCUCUGAGUUCAAGGCCAGCUUAGUCCAUAUAGCCAGUUCUAAGAAAGCCAGGGCUACUGCUAUAUGAUGGUUUGUAUAUGCUUGGUCCAGGGAGUGGCACUAUUAGAAGGUGUGGCCUUGUUGGAGUAGGUGU